AAGCAACAGCGACUUGUGUAACCCACAUGUAUAUGUGUGGUACUGUUAGUGGUAUUUUAUUUCUGUAGGAUUUUGUUUUGUUAUUUAAUGUUCCCAGCAAUUUAGUUAUAUUUUCAUUUUGAGUUUUCUUGUCAUACCAGAAACCGCCAGCAGGUGGCUUGUGAGUUACA